AUAGUUGUGGCUAAAAGUUAGACAUGUGCUUGACUUAGUGCUGUAUGUGUUGUACAUGAUCUGGAUAUGUAUAUAUGUUUUACUGUAUGUGAAAAACCAGGCUUAACAGGUAUGAGUUAACCCAUCUAGAGCAAGCUCUAGUCAGGGGUACAGAGUACAGAGUACAGAGUACAGAGUACAGAGUACAAAGAUAGUGCAU
rnacentral:lncRNA from 1 species